UUUGGUGAUUAUACCGACACGGUCACACCCGAUCCCAUCCCGAACUCGGAAGUUAAGUGUGUCAGGGCCGAUGAUAGUGCUGGGUUACCCCGGUGUGAAAGUAGGACGUUGCCAAAU
rnacentral:rRNA from 2 species